CCAAAUGGUUAGGACACUACAGACAGAAGUUGGCACAUCAGCGUUACCGACUUUAGAUGAGUCCCAUGGGGCUUGUGGGAAUCGUAGAGCAAAACGGAGAACACCAUCAUGUUCGGGAGAGUCUAAUCUUUCCAUACGCUACACGCGUUUUUGUGAAAAGACAGAUUUUCAGGAUGUCUCAUGAUCUGACAAACACCGCUGUAGCUUGGCCACCUUCCAACGCAGAAGAGGGGGCCGACAUAGGCGGAUGCAGUGGAUUGAGACGGAGCCCAUGAAAAAAACACACCUCUAGCUUAAACUGAUGCGUUUGGAUGGGUAUGUUUUUAUGAUGUUACCUAGAUUGAUGCAUGGGUGAGUCAAGACUCUUAAGGAUAUCUUAAACCCCUGUUCAUAAAGGGCUAAAAACAGCAACAAUAUAUGAAAUGUGUUUUUCACAAAUCAAGUGCAGUAGCUUGACUAGGGUCUUCACUGUUGAAGCAUUCUUUGAUUUUGUCAGUUAUUAUUUUCUGUUGCGCACGCUCUUCCUCCAGAUCAAUAUCUCUGAGAGCUCUUUGAACUCAUUAGGAAUUCUUGACGUCUCCGGUUUCCAUGGUUAUUGCAACUCCCCUCUGCUAUUUCCUGUAUUUGUAUUUGGUUGGGAGGAAGGGGAUAUGAGAUUUAGGUCUAAGCAUAGUGUGCCCCGUCGGCAACUUUUGAGUAACUCUGUGAUUUAAGUUAAGAAUAGUUGUCCAUUAUUUUGAUCACAAUGGAUUCUUGCAAUUAUGAGAAGAAGACUUAAGGUGACCUGGUGACCUUCUAUGGUGAGUGCCUGUUUAUUGUGUUAUCCUUCUAUGUUCAAUCCAAAAGCAUAGGCUACCUCUGUCGGUUAAAAUAUUUUUCCACUGUAACAACAAGAUGGCUGCUGCAUUUUAGACUUUAUAAACUACUACUACUUUCCAAAUAAACUGGAAAACUUUACAAUGCCUAGUAAGUCUACACGCCCCUUGCAUUGUCAUCAUAUUUUGCUGCCUUCAAAUUAAAUCGAAAAAGAGAUGAAGUUGGAUUUCUUUCCCUACAGAUUUACACUACCUUCUCUACAUUUUCAAAGUGAAAAAGUUCCAAAGAAAUUCUGGUGUGUCUUUGGCAUAAAAACAUGUGCAAUUGUCUCUCUGAAAAAUGAAACUAUAUCCUAGGGUUAGGUUUUCAGAAGAAUGUGAAUUAGGCCAAAAAUGUAUGUCUUUGUUGUGUUUUCUUUCAGUAUUAUGUUGUGACUUUAGUCAUAAACUGUUCUUUCUGCUACCGCAUGGCAAGCAGUACCGGAGCGCCAAUUCUAGGUCCAAGAGGCUUCGACUGUUGAUGAAUGUGACUUUUGUUUAUUGAUAUGGAUGUUCGGUUUAUGUCCCAGGUUCAAUGGCGGUCAUGACUAUUUAUUUAAAAGUAAUUUACAACUUACUCUUCAGAGCCAUUUGUUUAGUAGCCUACCUGAUGGAACGAGAAUGGUGUAAUUGCGGCCUGCAAAUCAGGGUGUUUCCUGCAUGUGGGCAUUCCUGCAAACCGUCUUCAGACUUGAGGUGGGGCUGCUACAGUACAGUAGGUGUUGGUAAUGAACCAUAACGUUGGAUGUCUGUCUAGCUCAAUCUCUGAUAAUGCUUUUCCCCCCGUUUCAUCCACAUUUUAAUCGCAUAGUAGACAAUCAGGGGAAAUACAGAAAAUCUAAAGUUCAGGUUUGCGGCCCGGGAGUCUUGUCUAUGUGUAGUUGCCUGUCUGCACUAUCCAUAUAGCUUCAUGGUUCAGUUUGUUAGUUUGUUCAGUGUUCAUUCGUUAAUAAAAUAGAAUGUACACAUACCACGCUGCACCUUGGUCUCCUUUGUCCGACAAACGUGACAUUCACCUUUCAUUCAGAAUAUAAAAUGAACCUAACUGCAUCGUCUGGAAACUACGUAUUUUUUGGGAGGUUGCUUCAGAACACUAGGUCUACAAUUAUUCAAUUGUCAAAUGUUGUAAAAAUGUCAGGUUCUAGGUCUGGGGUGGGCAGGCAGAGUGAAGCAGAGGCAAACAGCAAAAUACUUGUAUAUAAAAAUGUAUAUAUUUUUGGACAAUUCCGUUUCAACACAAUUCCAUUCAAUUGCUUUGGUUCAUAAAUAUAAUUGUCUCUUUUUAUUCUAAAAAACACGCUAUUUGAUAUCAGACAAACAUCCAAACCCAAACCAGGAAAUUAAAAGGGCAGAAGAAGUGAUUUGUCCAUUUUCUUAAAGGUCUCACUUCAGCUCAAACAAACUCCAUUAGCCAUGUGCUCUCAUCAACUGAAGCCAUUACAUGCUCAGACAAAACCUGGUAUCAUUCUUAAAUGUAAACCUUGAAAUUUUUACUCUUUAUAAACAUUUAACUCAAUAUUUAUCUUGAGUACUUCAUGAAUGUAGAUUUUAAAAAGUAUAUUUCAUACAAUAUUUGAUUUGAUCUUAACAGACAAUUCAAAACAAAACUAGAAAAUACUAUAUCCUCAGUUGUACAUGUAUGUUUGUGUUGUACACAGUCAUCGUGCAGUUUCUUAUCAACUGAACUAUAAAACCAAACCACGCCCUUGGACUUACUAGGCAAGGUAAUGUAAGAGACAAUGAUUAUGCAACAACAUUUAACUGCUGUGGGGAAAUAUCAGUGGGCAAUAGCUGGUUGAAUCAACGUUGUUUACACAUUUAAUUUUAUGUGGUGACAUUGAAUCAACAUGGAAAACUGAUUAGAUUUGCAAGUCAUCAACGGCUAGUUGACAACUCAACCAAAUGUAAUUCAAAACUAUAAGGUGAACUGACGUCUGUGCCCAGUGGGUAGGUGCUAUAUCACAUAUAAAGACACCAAGGAGAUAAACAACUAUAAUUCGAAAGCUUUCUUGACUAACUGUCAAUUAUUAUUUAUAUUCUCUCCCAGGAUUAACAUAACAUGGAGAAGAACAGGAUGGCAUUGUGAUGGAUUCAAAUACCGGUAGACACUGCAGCAAAUAGUGAACACAGUGCUUUUCAAAGCAAUGGGAGUCCUACAUGGUAUCGCAGUGGCUUAAAAUGGGAUCCGGGUCAAGUGCUUCUGAUAAAAUUCCAUUGGUUGAAAAGGAUGAGUCAAAAGAGGAUGUUGUCCUUUUUGAAAAACUGGAUUUUGUGAUUAUUGGCUACCAUGGUGCUGGAAAGAAUAAAACAGGAAACAUCAUCCUGAACAAAAAGGAAUUCAGUUACUGGACAUCAUGGAGCAAACAAGCUGUGAAGAAAGAGUCCAACUCAGGCAACCAUAAAAUUACUGUGGUCCGCACUCCAGGUUGGUCUGGGAAAUUAAGUACGGAGACAAAACAGCAGAUUCUAAAAUCUGUCCAGUCGUCAUUUACAGAUGGACCUAACGCUCUCCUCUUGGUUAUUAAAAUCGGUUGUACAGACUCUCUCGCUAUUUUCACAAAUGAAGAAGGAAAAAGCAUGUUUGAAGAAAUGUUCACUGAAAAUGUAUGGGAAAAUAUAAUAGUGCUGUUCACAAAUGAGAAAGGAUUGAUGAAAGAAAAUAUGCCUAUUGACGAAUACAUUACUAAACUUAAACUUGACUGGUUGAUAGAGAAAUGUGAAGGAAGGUAUUUUUGUCUUUCCGACAUAAAUUCAUGGAAGGUUCAGAGUAGGGAGCUGAUCUACAAUUUAGAGGUAAAUAUAGCUGAGAACAAAAAUGAGAAUUUCAACAUGGAAGAUAUUGCCACAGAGAAUAAACUGAAGAAAAAGACAUGUCUGAAAAAUAACCUUGAAAAGAAGUGCAACCAACUUAAAUCACAUCUGCCAAGCUAUAGGAAGAAUAAGAAAAAAAUUGAAUCCAUUGAGAUUAAGAUAGAAAAACUGGAGAAGAUCAUUAAACAGAAGACUGAAGAAAUACAAGAAUUACAGGCUCAAAUUGAUCAGUUAAGUCCCAAAGUAAAGAAACAGACAGAAGAGGACAAAGAAACAAAAGAAGAGUUGAAGCAAACAAAAGAAGAGUUGAAGCAAACAAAAGAAGAGUUGAAGCAAACAAAAGAAGAGUCGAAGCAAACAAAAGAAGAGUUGAAGCAAACAAAAGAAGAGUUGAAGCAAACAAAAGAAGAGUCGAAGCAAACAAAAGAAGAGUUGAAGCAAACAAAAGAAGAGUCGAAGCAAACAAAAGAAGAGUUGAAGCAAACAAAAGAAGAGUUGAAGCAAACAAAAGAAGAGUUGAAGCAAACAAAAGAAGAGUUGAAGCAAACAAAAGAAGAGUUGAAGCAAACAAAAGAAACGUUGAAGCAAACACAAGACAAGUUGACAGCAACUGAAGAAAUGUCCACUAAUAGAAUCACCGAAAAGGGGACGUGGCAGAACACACUUAACAGCAUCUUGGGUGAACUCCUUGAAGAUGAAUUUAAAAAACUGAAGCACUUGUUGACUGAAAUCCCCAGCGGAAAACUGGAACAUGCAAAACAACUGGAUGUAGGAGAUAUGAUGAUAAAAGCCUUUGGAUUUAAUGAAUCAAUCACAAAAACACGAGACCUCAUGAAGAGGAUACCACGCAAUGACCCAGCUGUGCAAGACAUACUGGAGCCCUUCCUGUUAGAAAUAGGAGAAGCAUUGUGAUUUAAACAUAAUUCAUUAAAUAUACUACAUGCUCGUUGAACAUCUCAUUACAACAUCAUGGGCAUUAAUAUGGAGUUGGUCCCCCCUUUGCUGCUUUAACAGCCUCUACUCUUCUGGGAAGGCUUGCCACUAGAUUUUGGAACAUUGCUGCAGGGACUUGCUUCCAUUCAGCCACGAGACCAUUAGUGAGGACGGGCACUAAUGUUGGGUGAUUAGGCCUGGCUCACAGUCGGCGUUGCAAUUCAUCCCAAAAGUGUUGAAGUUGAGGUCAAGGCUCUGCGCAGUUCAGUCAAGUUCUUCCACACCAAUCUCAACAAACCAUUUCUGUACGGACCUCGCUUUGUGUGCGGGGGCAUUGUCCUGCUGAAACAGGAAAGGGCCUUCCCCAAACUGUUACCACGGUGUUGGAAGCACAGGAUUGUCUAGAAUGUCAUUGUAAGCUGUGGUGUUAAGAUUUCCCUUCACUGGAACUAAGGGGCCUAGCCUGAACCAUGAAAAACAGCUCUAGACAAUUAUUACUCCUCCACCAAACUUUACAGUUGGCACUAUGCAUUCGGGCAGGUAGCGUUCUCCUGGCAUCUGUCAAACUCAGAAGCAUGAUUCAUCACUUCAGAGAACUAAUUUCCACUGCUCCAGAGUCCAAUGUCGACGAGCUUUACACCACUCCAGCUGACGCUUGGCAUUGCACAUGGUGAUUUUAGGCUUGUGUGUGGCUGCUCUGCCAUGGAAACCCAUUUCAUUAAGCUCCUGACAAACAGUUAUUGUGCUGACGUUGCUUCCAGAGGCAGUUUUGAACUCGUAGUGAGUAUUGCAACUGAGGACAGAUGAUUUUUACACACUACGUGCUUCAACAGUUGGCGAUCCAGUUCUGUGAGGUUAUGUGGGCUACCACUUUGCGGCUGAGCUGUUGUUGCUCCUAAACAUUUCCACUUUACAAUAACAGCACUUACAGUUGACCUCUAGCAGACCAGAAAUUUGAUGAACUGACUUCUUGGAAAUGUGCCAUCCUAUGUCGGUGCCACAUUGAAAGUCACUGAGCUCUUCACUACAGGCCAUUCUACUGCCAAUGUUUGUCUAUGGAGAUUGCAUGGUGGUGUGCUCGAUUUUAUACACUUGUCAGCAACAGGUGUGGCUGAAAUAGCCAAAUCCACUAAUUUGAAGGGAUGACCACAUACUUUGUAGUGUAUGUCCUACUCACUUCAGACUCAGUUCAUUAUUGGCAACAGUCAAUGUCAUGGAUCUUUGUCAUAUUUUCGGUUAGAUUUGUUUAUAGUCAUAUAUGUAAAUGAACCCUUUUCUUGUUGAUAUUGUAACUAUAAGCAAUAUCAGUUUCCUUUUCCAUAUUAAAUUUUGAUAUUGUAUUAUAUUAGCCCUUUGAUAGUUUUCUAAACACAAAGAUGUGUCACUGCUUGUCUAUAAACGUUCCGGAAUAACAGGCCAGAGACAAAAAAGAAAAUUAGACAAAAAAGAAAAAAAGUGAAAAUGUUAUGGAUGACUUUGAUUUAAGAUAAGAAACUCAAGCAACUGUUCAGAGACAAUGGUACAAUACAAUGGUGCCAGGGUUGCCACAGUGGAUUGAGGAGAGAUGAGGAAAAGUAACUCUGACAAAGACAUGGAGAAGAUCAAGAAGCAUUUUCAGAUAAGGAUCAACUCUGGUGGAGGGGAUUGUGGAAAAGGUGGGAGACAACAUGUAUAAGGUCGCUUCAGGGAUAAAGACGGUAAGGAGUUCAAUUUAAUUGUGUGUAUGUGUGUGUGUGUGUGUGUGUGUGUGUGUGUGUGUGUGUGUGUGUGUGUGUGUGUGUGUGUGUGUGUGUGUGUGUGUGUGUGUGUGUGUGUGUGUGUGUGUGUGUGUGUGUGUGUGUGUGUGUGAGAGAAAAAACACUAACUAACCAGUACAAACAUCAUGUUCCCCUCAGCAUUAUGAGAACCCAAUCAAAAUCCAUCAUAAAAGGCAUCGGGUAGAAGUAAAUUCAAAUAUAAUUUGACAUACUGUAUAUCUUAAAUGACUGCGUUUUCAGUCAUUUCAUUCUAAAAUCUUGAACCGCUCAAUUUGACCUUGUCCAGGGGUGCCUCCAGGGGUCACUGCUGAGGGAGAGGGAGCUGAAAGAGGUGUACGCCCGCGUGGCAUGGUGCAUCCUGGGAAGGUGGGGAGACAAGGAGAGGCUCCCAAGGAGACCAUUGACAGGUUGGAUGGACAGAGAGGCUGGUGAGCCGUGGUUGUGAGGAGGAUGGAGGCGACUACCACUGCUCAGGGUUCGAAACACAUCAUCAAGCUGAAACACCCGGAGAACCUUGUCGACUACACAGAGUAUCAGAGAGCGAAUGAGGGCUUCAGGAAGACAGCCAUGUGCUUAAGUUUGACAGAAAGAUCCCGGUUGCCAUUGUCAACUGUAGUUGCAGUGUUUCGUGGAUCCAGUGGAUUUUAAGCAAAAUUCUUACAUAACAUGCAGUAUGGGAGCCAAACACAGUAAAACAUGUACAGACACAGAUGAGGAUCCAUUAAUUACAAAUGAAGAGUUAGAUGAAGAGGAGGUCCUGUUUAAUCGUUUGGAUUUUGUGCUUAUUGGAGGUAAGGGUGCUGGAAAGAGUACCGUAGGAAACAUAAUCCUUGACAAGAAGUCCUCUUUCUGGAUAUUCAGUAAUAAACAACGUGUGAAGAAAAUAAAUCUGAAAAUAACUGUGAUCCGCACUCCUGGCUGGAGUCAGUCUGGACUCUAUAGCAGUCGAAAGAAGAUAAAGCGGCAGGUCCAAGACUCUGUUAAGUCAUUUAAAGACGGACCUAAUGCUGUCCUCUUGGUCAUUGAAUCCACCUCUAAAAAGUCUAGUUUUAAUGUGUGUGAGCAGAAUAUACUGGAAGAUCUGCUUACCAAGAGAGUAUGGGAUCAUACUAUGGUGUUGUUCACAAAAGGGGAAAAACUGGCUGAAUUUGACCUCAGUGAGCAGAAAAUCAAAGAUACAUUUGAACAUUUGAUAAGAAAAUGUGGAAACCGGUGUCAUGUUCUCUAUGACAACAAGCCACGCAAGCAACAGAACAGGGAGGUGAUCAAGACAUUAGAGGACAUGUCUCUUAAAAACAAAUAUGAGAAUUUCUACGUGGAGGAAGAAGCCACCGAUCCUGUAAGGAUAUCAACCAAGAGGUUGAUGAAGAAGAUUGCUCUGAAAGGAAACAUUUUGAAAAAAAUUAGAAAACUUUAUUCACGUCUAUCAAUUGAAAAUGGCAGAUCCAACGAGUUCCUUCAGAAUGAAAUCAAAAAACUGCAAGAGAUCCUUAAACAGAAGGAUGAGGAUAUAACAAGACUACAGUCUUGUCUUAAUCAGCAUUCAGAGACAGACUCUCUCAGUCUGUCAAAUAUAGACAGACAGGCACAGACAGACUCUCUCAGUCUGUCAAAUAUAGACAGACAGGCACAGACAGACUUUCUCAGUCUGUCAAAUAUAGACAGACAGGCACAGACAGACUCUCUCAGUCUGUCAAAUAUAGACAGACAGGCACAGACAGACUCUCUCAGUCUGUCAAAUAUAGACAGACAGGCACAGACAGACUUUCUCAGUCCGUCAAAUAUAGACAGACAGACACAGACAGACUGUCCAGGACUCCCUGAAGAAAACCAACAGAAACAUCCCUUGAUGGGAGAAGAUAGGAAUGAGGACACAAAAGUGGAGAUAAAAUACUGGAUGAAUAAGGUGAAGGAGAGGGAUAUAGAGAUAGAACAGUUAAAGACUAAGUUGGGAAAGCACGCCAGCUAUGGUACCAUUGCAAAACCAGUGAACAUGAAUGGGAGACAGGACACAAAUGGUAAAUUCUUCAAGAAACACAAGUUGGCGUUGGAGGACCGUAUGGGAUUGUUGCGGCCCAUACUUCGGCUUCUCCAGGAGCGAGUGGUUCUGAAUGCCGAGGAGAGUCAGGAGGUGGACAACAAAACAAACAAGACACUGAAGAACCAGGCCCUGCUGGAAAUGGUUUUGUUGAAGGGACCUGGUGCCCAAGAGCAGUUCUACCAGGUACUGAAAGAAGUAGACCCUUUCCUGGUAAAGGACCUGGAAGAGAAGACAAGUUGACAAGAGCAGGCUGGUGUGUAGUUAAGGAUUCCGACCCCAACCAGAAUAGGAGACCACUCUCCAGUUAUGUUUGACAUUAUCUGUGCUGCCUACCAGAUUAGGAACCUGUCGAUUUCUAAUCACUGGGAUUUACUGGGAUUUACAUGCAUUCAUUUUACUGGAAAUUACAUGCAUUCAGAGGGGUAAAGCGUUUUUCAAAAUAUACUGUUCAGAAAGGAUAUUCUUCACAUUACAUCACAAGUUAAUGAUGUCUUAGCCUACUCCAUGUAAAAUGUAUCUUUUAACUGUCUUGAAUAGGCCCCCAGGUCUCAGGAAAGGUGAUGUGACCAUGUAAGGCUAACGUUUAACAGCCUCUACUACACAGGUGUACUAACUGCACACAACAAGCUCAGGUAAAAGUAAAUACGCUGAUCAGGAAAGUCUGUAGUUGAAGCUUGACACCCCCUGGUGUCAUAGUGAAGGAUGGAAAUUGUUGGGCUUUGAAAAUUAUACUUUACACUGUAUCAUCUUGUGAGCCUCAAUCCAAAUCACUGCAUGUUAUAGUUCUGUCACUUCAUUUUGUAUUUUAUUUUAUCAUGUAUUUUCCUACCAUAGCCUAUUCUGCUGUGUGAAACUAAAUUAUUUCUCAGUGUUCACUAUAUCAUUAUACAGUAUAUAUUGAACCGUUUAGGUAUGCCAUUUAAAAAACAAACAUUUACAGUAAAUGUUGGUCAGUUUUGUCACUUUUAUAUUUUGUUGUAUUAUGUAUUUCCUUCCAUAGACUAUUCUGCUGUUUGACACUGAAUUACUUUUUUUGUGAUUAAUAAAGCAUUAUAUAUUUACUUAAUUAAC